CCUACGGGCGGCAGCAGUGGGGGAUAUUGCACAAUGGGGGGAACCCUGAUGCAGCGACGCCGCGUGGGUGAAGAAGCGCCUCGGCGCGUAAAGCCCUGUCAGCAGGGAAGAAAAUGACGGUACCUGACGAAGAAGCCCCGGCUAACUACGUGCCUGCAGCCGCGGUAAUACGGAGGGGGCAAGCGUUAUCCGGCUUUACUGGGUGUAAAGGGGGCGCAGACGGCGAUGCAAGCCAGGAGUGAAAGCCCGGGGCCCAACCCCGGGACUGCGCUUGGAACUGCGUGGCUGGAGUGCAGGAGGGGCAGGCGGAAGUCCUGGUGUAGCAGUGAAAUGCGUAGAUAUCAGGAGGAACACCGGUGGCGAAGGCGGCCUGCUGGACUGCAACUGACGUUGAGGCCCGAAAGCGUGGGGAGCAAACAGGAUUAGAUACCCGAGUAGUC
rnacentral:rRNA from 1 species